CGGGUGAGUAACACGUGAGCAACCUGCCCCGAAGACUGGGAUAACACCGGGAAACCGGUGCUAAUACCGGAUGCCCUCCUCUGGUCGCAUGGCCUAGGGAGGAAAUGAAUUUUGCUUCGGGAGGGGCUCGCGGGCUAUCAGCUUGUUGGUGAGGUAACGGCUCACCAAGGCGACGACGGCUAGCUGGUCUGAGAGGACGACCAGCCACACUGGGACUGAGACACGGCCCAG
rnacentral:rRNA from 1 species